AUUGAACGCUGGCGGAAUGCUUUACACAUGCAAGUCGAACGGCAGCACGGGGGCAACCCUGGUGGCGAGUGGCGAACGGGUGAGUAAUACAUCGGAACGUGCCCAGUCGUGGGGGAUAACGUAGCGAAAGCUACGCUAAUACCGUAUACGAACUCUGGUUGAAAGCGGGGGAUCGCAAGACCUCGCGCGAUUGGAGCGGCCGAUGGCAGAUUAGGUCGUUGGUGGGGUAAAGGCUCACCAAGCCGACGAUCUGUAGCUGGUCUGAGAGGACGACCGGCCACACUGGGACUGAGGCACGGCCCAGACUCCUACGGGAGGCAGCAGUGGGGAAUUUUGGACAAUGGGCGAAAGCCUGAUCCAGCAAUGCAGCGUGCAGGAUGAAGGCCUUCGGGUUGUAAACUGCUUUUGUACGGAACGAAAAGCCCCGGGUUAAUACCCUGGGGUCAUGACGGUACCGUAAGAAUAAGCACCGGCUAACUACGUGCCAGCCGCCGCCGUAAAAC
rnacentral:rRNA from 1 species